rnacentral:tRNA from 1 species
CUUAAACGGAAGCCCGUUGGAUAAGGCACCUAGCUGUUAACUAGGAGUUUGUGGGAUCGAGGCCCACCCGUUU